UGCGGUUAAAAGGCUCGUAGUUGGAUCUUGGAGUGUGAGUGAAUGGUCGAUCGAAAGAUUGUGCUGUUCGGCACACUCUUCUCUUCGGUUGCGUGUGUAGUGCCCCUAACUGAGUGCUGCACUCGACCGGAAUUUUUACCUUGAAAAAAUUAGAGUGUUCAAAGCAGACCUGAUUAUGUCUGAAUAUUCGUGCAUGGAAUAAUAAAAUAAGAACUUGGUUCUAUUUUAUUGGUUUUCGGAACUCGAGUUAAUGAUUAAGAGGGACAGACGGGGGCAUCCGUACUCUGCCGUUAGAGGUGAAAUUCUUGGAUCGGCGGAAGACGCGCAACUGCGAAAGUAUUUGCCUAGAAUGUUUUCUUUAAUCAAGAACGAAAGUCGGAGGUUCGAAGACGAUCAGAUACCGUCCUAGUUUCGACUGUAAACUAUGCCAGCUAACGAUCAGACAGCGUUCUCUACGACUUGUCUGGCAGUUUCCGGGAAACCAAAGCUUUUGGGUUCCGGGGGAAGUAUGGUUGCAAAGCUGAAACUUAAAGGAAUUGACGGAAGGGCACCACCAGGAGUGGAGCCUGCGGCUUAAAUUGACUCACACCGGGGA
rnacentral:rRNA from 1 species